UACGAGGGGGGCAAGCGUUGUUCGGAAUUACUGGGCGUAAAGCGUGCGCAAGCGGUUUGUUAAGUCCGUUGUGAAAGCCCCGAGCUCAACUUGGGAAUUGCAGUGGAUACUGGCAGGCUGGAGUACGGUAGAGGAAGGUGGAAUUCCCGGUGUAGCAGUGAAAUGCGUAGAUAUCGGGAGGAACACCAGUGGCGAAGGCGGCCUUCUGGACCAGUACUGACGCUCAUGCACGAAAGCGUGGGGAGCAAACAGG
rnacentral:rRNA from 1 species